UUCGUAGGUGAACCUGCGGAAGGAUCAUUG
rnacentral:rRNA from 1 species